CACGUAGGGUGCGAGCGUUGUCCGGAAUUAUUGGGCGUAAAGAGCUCGUAGGCGGUGUGUCGCGUCGGCCGUGAAAACCUGCAGCUUAACUGUGGGCUUGCGGUCGAUACGGGCAUCACUGGAGUUCGGCAGGGGAGACUGGAAUUCCUGGUGUAGCGGUGAAAUGCGCAGAUAUCAGGAGGAACACCCGUGGCGAAGGCGGUUCUCUGGGACGGUACUGAC
rnacentral:rRNA from 1 species